rnacentral:rRNA from 2 species
UACGUAGGGGGCGAGCGUUGUCCGAAGUUACUGGGCGUAAAGCGCGCGUAGGCGGGUUUUUAAGUGAGAGGUGAAAGGUUCAGGGCUCAACCCGGACACUGCCUUUCAUACUGGGAGCCUUGAGUGCAGGAGAGGCGAGUGGAAUGGUCGGUGUAGCGGUGAAAUGCGUAGAUAUCGAUCGGAACACCCAUGGCGAAGGCAGCUCGCUGGCCUGUAACUGACGCUGAGGUGCGAAAGCGUGGGGAGCAAACAGG